rnacentral:ncRNA from 2 species
CACGUCUGCAGCGACUGGCGUGCCGAGGGUGGAACUGACCACCGGGAAGCGACGGCCGCGCACCGAACGCCUGGGUGCCCGGC